GAGUUUGAUCAUGGCUCAGGAUUAACGCUGGCGGCAUGCCUAAUACAUGCAAGUCGAACGGAGUAGCAAUACUUAGUGGCGAACGGGUGAGUAACACGUAUCUAAUCUACCAUUUAGUGGGGAAUAACUGUUGGAAACGACAGCUAAUACCGCAUAAUAUUGCUGGAUAAUUUCCAGUAAUGAAAGGAGCUUUCAAGCUCCGCUGAUUGAUGAGGAUGCGGCGCAUUAGCUAGUUGGUAGGGUAAUGGCCUACCAAGGCAAUGAUGCGUAGCCGAUCUGAGAGGAUGAACGGCCACAUUGGGACUGAGACACGGCCCAAACUUCUACGGAAGGCAGCAGUAGGGAAUUUUUCACAAUGGGCGAAAGCCUGAUGGAGCAAUGCCGCGUGACUGAUGAAGGUCUUCGGAUUGUAAAGGUCUGUUGUAAGGGAAGAAAUGGUAAAACAGGAAAUGGUUUUAUCUAUGACGGUACCUUACCAGAAAGCCACGGCUAACUAUGUGCCAGCAGCCGCGGUAAUACAUAGGUGGCAAGCGUUAUCCGGAUUUAUUGGGCGUAAAGGGUGCGUAGACGGUUUUGCAAGUCUGAGGUUAAAUUUAGGAGCUCAACUCCUAAUCGCCUUGGAAACUACAAGACUAGAGUAUAGGAGAGGUUAGUGGAAUUCCAUGUGUAGCGGUGGAAUGUGUAGAUAUAUGGAGGAAACACCAGUGGCGAAGGCGGCUAACUGGGCCUAUCACUGACGUUGAAG
rnacentral:rRNA from 1 species